rnacentral:rRNA from 1 species
UACGUAGGUGACAAGCGUUGUCCGGAUUUACUGGGCGUAAAGAGCGCGCAGGCGGUCGAUCAAGUCGAGUGUGAAAGCCCCCGGCUCAACUGGGGAGGGUCAUUCGAUACUGAUCGACUCGAAGGCAGGAGAGGGUGGUGGAAUUCCCGGUGUAGUGGUGAAAUGCGUAGAGAUCCGGAAGAACACCGGUGGCGAAGGCGGCCUGCUGGGCAGUGGCUGACGCUGAGGCGCGACAGCGUGGGGAGCAAACAGG